GUAAUUGUGGUCAAGUGGUUAAGGUGAUGGACUUGAAAUCCACUGGGGUUUCCUUACACAGGUUCAAAUCCUGUCAAUUACG